GCAAAGCUGGGGUGAUGCUAUGGGGAUGGUCAGCAGGCCUCACUGCAUCCCCUUGGGUUGCCUGGGUGCAGGUGAUGCAGCCUGGAGGCAUUUUUGACUCCACUCAGUUUUUGUUGAGGGCAUCUCCAGGCUUAUUUUCUAGGGGAAGCAUCAUGCAUCCUGAUGCACAGAGCCUCCAAGGGCUGGGCUGGGAGCGCAGCCGAGGUGGCUUAAGUACAUGGCAGAUGGGCGCCAGCAGAGGUUGGAGUCAAGGGGAUUUUUCGACAUGCCUUUUUUUAAUCUCCUCUUAAGCAGACCCACUCAAGGAAAGCUGUAAUUAUUUUAAUCUCUUUUUUCCCCUUCCCACUCUGCAAAUGCACUUGGCUUUGCAAGGCCUCAGAGGUAAUUUUAUGGAGGAAAAACAUGCCAAUUUUUUUUUUUUUUUAAUUUUAAUUAUUUCAGAUAGAUACAUUUCUAAUGAUGUACUAGCCAAGGAACAGAGGGUUUGUAUUUAUUAUUAUUACUAUUUGUUAUAUUUUUACUCACUAAAGAAUGAAUCAACCGCUCCCAGAAGCCACCAUGGACCAUUGCAGAUUGGUGAGACAUGGCACACAGCCACCUCAUUCCUUUCCUGCCCUCAGCCCCUCUGCAGCUGCUCGGGACUCUCUCUUAGUUCUUGAUCGGAUGCAAAGUUGCCAUUCAGAUGGGAUCUGUGGUCAGGCACUGCCUGCUAGCACAGCAUUGUAAUGUAGGACCUUGGUGUAAACACUGUCUGCUGGUGAUUAGAGGUCAUCCUGCAUUUCUCCUUUCACCAGAGCAUAAAUACAAGCAUGGGUGUUGCAGAUGUCCUGCACGUGCGACAGGCUGGAUUUGAGCUGGCUAGGGGCAGCGCGCAUCUUUGGACCAGGACUAACAGGUAUGUGCAUAUACACAGAGCAAACAAAAAAGCCUACCCUGCUUGACAGUUCCACCAGAGCAUACAGAGUUAGGCUCACUUAUCAAGGAAAGAGUCUCACUUGAUUGGGACAUGCAUAAGCCAUCCAAUCCAAAUUCCCCU